CAGGCCAGCAUCAGUCCGGGCGGUUGGACAAAGGCCUAUUAAACGUACCUCCUCGGGGAGGACUUAUAGGGUAGGUGCCAUGCAACCAGCCUGGAUUGAGGUCCGCGCAUCUGCUAGGAUGCUGGCGUAAUGGCUGUAAGCGG
rnacentral:rRNA from 1 species